CCUGUUUUAAUACUUUUUUAAGGUUAACUUUUCCUUCCAUAGGUUCCUGUAUUAUUUCUUGUAGAAAAGGAAUAGUUUAUUUAUAUUAUCAUUUUAUGAGAUCUUUUGAUUUAGUUAAUAUGUAUGUUUAUCUUAAUCUCUUGGUCAUUUAAAUAUAUUACAAAUUUCCUAAAUUGUGUAUGUGCGUAUAUCCUUUAAAUCUAUAGAUCGCCUCCCCACGUUUUUGUAUAUACAUAUUCAUUUUUAGGCAUUAAUUUAUUUAAUAAAUUAAGUAGCAGAUUCUUUGCAGGUAUUGCGCUCCAAACUUCUGUUAGAGCUUCUAAUGAUAUUACUCUAACAUCAUCACAUCCAUCAUCAAGUCUUUUCAAAAGUAUUGGAUAUAUUUUAUAAUUAUCAUCUGCAAGACUAAUUAAAACAGGAAUUAUUUGAUCAAAUAUUAAACAAAUAUUUUCUUCAUCAUGAUUUGUAAUUCUCUCCAUAACAGAGUCUUUUUCAUAUUUAUUUAAAAACGAACAUAAACA